GUGCCAGCCGCCGCGGUAAUACGGAGGAUGCGAGCGUUAUCCGGAUUUAUUGGGUUUAAAGGGUGCGUAGGCGGGUUGCCAAGUCAGGGGUGAAAUCCCGGAGCCUAACUCCGGAACUGCCUUUGAUACUGGCAGUCUUGAAUUCGGAUGCCGUGGGAGGAAUGAGUAGUGUAGCGGUGAAAUGCAUAGAUAUUACUCAGAACACCGAUUGCGAAGGCAUCUCACGAAUCCGACAUUGACGCUGAGGCACGAAAGCGUGGGGAUCAAACAGGAUUAGAUACCCUGGUAGUCCACGCAGUAAACGAUGAUGACUAACCGUCGGCGAUAGACAGUCGGUGGCCAAGCGAAAGCGAUAAGUCAUCCACCUGGGGAGUACGACCGCAAGGUUGAAACUCAAAGGAAUUGACGGGGGCCCGCACAAGCGGAGGAACAUGUGGUUUAAUUCGAUGAUACGCGAGGAACCUUACCCGGGCUCGAACGGUGCAGGAAGGAUCAAGAGAUUGUGACGCCCUUCGGGGCCUGCAUCGAGGUGCUGCAUGGUUGUCGUCAGCUCGUGUCGUGAGAUGUUGGCUCAAGUGCCAUAACGAGCGCAACCCUUGCCGCCAGUUACCAUCAAGUAAUGUUGGGGACUCUGGCGGGACUGCCACCGCAAGGUGUGAGGAAGGCGGGGAUGACGUCAAAUCAGCACGGCCCUUACGUCCGGGGCGACACACGUGUUACAAUGGGGGUUACAGAAGGAAGCUACCUGGCGACAGGGCGCGGAUCCCGAAAAGCCCCCUCAGUUCGGAUCGGAGUCUGCAACCCGACUCCGUGAAGCUGGAUUCGCUAGUAAUCGCGCAUCAGCCAUGGCGCGGUGAAUACGUUCCCGGGCCUUGUACACACCGCCCGU
rnacentral:rRNA from 1 species